GAAACCAAUUGAAAUACAACAGUAUAAAUAUUUCAAUAGCCCAGAUGUUCUGAGAGAUAACUUUUAGCGUCCUUAGAUGAGAGGAAAGUUGUUUUCACUUGCAAAUAAAUUCUGCAGUCCUCUUGUCAAGCACCAAAGAAACCAUUUUAACUCAAGGAAGAACACAUUUGAUGAAUACAACAAGAAAGUAUGAACACAAAAACUGAUUAUAGAAAACA
rnacentral:misc_RNA from 1 species